GUACACCUCACGCUGUGCACAAGACGUGGCAGUUCAGACGCAGUUUAUUCUGCACAGGAUAAGGAUUCUACUGCAUGCAAAAAGUUAAGUAUUAUUUCAAUAACUAAUAUUGUAUUACUUGAUACCAAAGCACUAUCUAAAAGUAUCUAUAUACUAACUAGUAGAGUAUAAUGUUAUUACAAUUAUUGUUCUUCUAAUAAUAUUAAUUUAUUAUUACAAAUUUUAUUUUAAAGUUUGAAAAGUUCGUCUUCGGAACGUUUCUUUAUUACGUCGCUCGCAAAGAGGCCUCGGUUUAUACGUUUUCUGCGUUCGUUGCGUCACAACCGCUGCGUUAACCGUUACGUCACGGUUUUUGUGAAUGUCAUCUUCUCAUACUGCGUUGCAUUUGGUGUUUCUCGCGAAUAUAACGUCAUAGUUCCGUCGACGCCACGCGCCUAUGACGUUACAACGCGCUUUUCUUUACACGCGUUUUUCCGCGACGUUUUGUUUAUGCUGCCCCAUGCGCGUUUCUCGACAACGUAGGGCGCAUUGCUUAUAUAUUCUAUUCUAAUUUAAAAUAACCUAAAUUAUAUUUACGCUACGAGCGCGAACGAAGAGGCAAAGAAGACGAAAGAAAUGGUGAGUUAAUCACAAUUGGCAUUGUUACGUAUACACCUGUUUUUUCCAGGCAGCAACGGAGAUGUGACGUCACGAAGUGGUGAUGACGAGACAGAAGAACACACUUCAACAUGGUACGUGACGCCACAUAGAGGAUUGAGCGGAUCAUAAAGCACGAAGUCGAAGAAAGAAAAUAUGAUAAA